CUACGGGUGGCUGCAGUGAGGAAUAUUGCACAAUGGGGGGAACCCUGAUGCAGCAACGCCGCGUGGAGGAUGACGCAUUUCGGUGUGUAAACUCCUUUUAUAUGUCAAGAAAAUGACGGUAGCAUAUGAAUAAGCACCGGCUAACUCCGUGCCAGCAGCCGCGGUAAUACGGAGGGUGCAAGCGUUACUCGGAAUCACUGGGCGUAAAGGACGCGUAGGCGGGUUGGAAAGUCAGGUGUGAAAUCCUACAGCUUAACUGUAGAACUGCACUUGAAACUUCUAAUCUAGAGUAUGGGAGGGGGAGAUGGAAUUAGGGGUGUAGGGGUAAAAUCCGUAGAUAUCACUAGGAAUACCUAAAGCGAAGGCGAUCUCCUGGAACAUUACUGACGCUAAGGCGUGAAAGCGUGGGGAGCAAACAGGAUUAGAUACCCGAUAGUC
rnacentral:rRNA from 1 species